GAAUAUUCAUCAUGUAUGCUUUUCUAAUUAUAAUGGGGGGUGGGGGAUGAAGAGGAAACUUUUCGAGCCACACACCGGAAUUUACUUUGAGGAAAUUAAAGUGUUCAUAGCAAAUAAGUGUUUGAAUACUACAGCAUGGAAUAACAAAAUAGGACUUUGGUAUUGUUUUGUUGGAGUAGAGAAACCAAAGUAAAGAUGAAUAGGGACAGUUGGGGGCAUUGGAAUUUGAUAGUCAGAGGUGAAAUUCAUGGAUUUAUCAAAGACCAACAAAGGCGAAAGCAUUUGCCAAGGAUGUUUUCAUUGAUCAAGAACGAAAGUCAGGGGAUCGAAGACGAUUAGAUACCGUCGUAGUCUUGACCGUAAACGAUGCCGACUUGGGGGAGGUGCGAGAUGAGAAGCGCAUCACAACCAAAGGAGAAAUCAAAGUGUAUGGGUUCUGGGGGGAGUAUAGUCGCAAGGCCGAAACUUGAAGGAAUUGACGGAAGGGCACCACCAGGAGUGGAGCCUGCGGGCUUAAUUUGACUCAACACGGGAAAACUUACCAGGUCCGGACAUGAUGAGGAUUGACAGAUUGAGAGCACUUUUAAGAUUUCAUGGGAGGUGGUGCAUGGCCGUUCUUAGUUGGUGGAGUGAUUUGUCAGGUUAAUUCCGAUAACGAGCGAGACCCUGUGAUGACGGUAAUGAUUGAGUAUGUAAAUACGCGAGACGUUUCUUCAUCGACACCCCA
rnacentral:rRNA from 1 species